UUAUUUAUCAUCCAGGUAUCUCAUCCUAGCCCAUAUGUCUCCAUUAAUGCAACAUUCUGUACCCAAUACAGCCUGUGAUCCCUUUUCAUUUUCUUGUCACAUAAUGUACAAUUAUAUAUAUUAUAUACAUAACACCUUAAUACAUACCACCAUAGGCCCUGACAUUUGUGGCCUGGCAAUAAGGUAUUUAGCAAGCUUCCAGCAGCAAGAUAAAAAAAAACGAUAAUUAUUUAUUUUUUACACAGGGCAAAAAAGAAAAAAAAUAUUUUGGGAAAAUGCUUUAUUUUCAGUCUAAAACUUUGGAUUUUAUGAGAGUUCGCCUUUAACAGAUGCUUUUUGUAAUGGCCUUGUCAGUAUAUCGAUAUCGCUAUCAUUAUGACUAGCGAUGAGUGAAAAAUUUGUGCAACAUGAAAAUGACGCACAUCAAAACAAAUUGUCAUCGUUUUGACACGCGCAAUGCUUGAUGUGUUAGACGUGUGCAACAAUUUUAUUUUACACUAGGCAAAUUUUUCCAUGGCAAAUGUUUGCGUCUUUUUCGCGAAACAAUCUGCCAGUGGCAAAACGCGAAAUUUCACUGUGAAUCCAUGUCUAGCGCAUCACUAAUUAUAACAUCACUGCUUUUCUUUCCAUCGCAACUAUAACAGUGUCAUACAUCAGCAUACAUAAAGUGUCCUAGCUUGUUAACAGCGGUUGGCCCACCCACAUAGAUUUAUACUAACUAGUUGAGGUCACUGUAACAUUACAGUUAUUACCAUGACAACCUUAGCAGUGGAUGAGAUCAUACACUGUCAUGUGACAGUUAUUGGUCGCUGGAUGCAGACUACUCUCAGCAAGUGCAUGGAAAGGACGGUGCAGAAGGGAAGAGACCACUGACACCAGAUAUAAGGCACCUAGGAAGAAAUGAUCCGCUACACUGCAAAGAUUCUCCUCCGUAAAGCAGUCAGAUUAUUCCAAGUGAGACGUUAUUACCAUGACAACCUUAGCAGUGGAUGAGAUCAUACACUGUCAUGUGACAGUUAUUGGUCGCUGGAUGCAGACUACUCUCAGCAAGUGCAUGGAAAGGACGGUGCAGAAGGGAAGAGACCACUGACACCAGAUAUAAGGCACCUAGGAAGAAAUGAUCCGCUACACUGCAAAGAUUCUCCUCCGUAAAGCAGUCAGAUUAUUCCAAGUGAGACGGACGGUGCAGAAGGGAAGAGACCACUGACACCAGAUAUAAGGCACCUAGGAAGAAAUGAUCCGCUACACUGCAAAGAUUCUCCUCCGUAAAGCAGUCAGAUUAUUCCAAGUGAGACGGUAAUAUGAUUGUUAACUUUUCUCUCACCCAGCAGGGUCCAAGCAAGUACCAUUCAGGGCAAUGGAGGGGCAAUUCUGAGCAGUUUGAUACCAGCCUGCCAGGCUGAAAAUUACACAAUAAAUUGCUAGAAUCUGCCCUGUGUGCCAUUCCUCUAAAUGAUAUUAAUAAAGCAAGUAGUUGAUUCCCCCAACUCACUGCCUAAAGGUUUUCUAUUCAAUACCUUGUACCCUCUUCAUUAAUAAUCAUCCUAGCCCAUUUAAUAUUCAGUUCUGUUCUUCUUCUCCCUUUUAUUCUCUUUUUCAUUCUCUUGUCACCUAAUGUACAAUUAUACACUUCUUUACUUUUUAAUAUCUCUCUAAA